ACACCCCAGCUCCCCUGUGAUUGCUCUAUCCUUCAGGUGCUCUGGUAGGGCACUAGAGUUUACUCUCUGUAAAACAUGUUGGCUAUGUGGAAAAAGGUGUAUUUGCAAGGGCAAAGAGGAGCUGAGUUCUAGGAAUUUCUCUGUGUAGUCCACCUAUUCCAAACUGAUGAGCUUCAAGAAGAGGGCUUGCUUGAGAAGCCUCAGCCUGUUGGCUACACAGUAGAGAGGAAGGACUUCACUGCUUAGAAGAGCAAUGGCACUCAGGCCCUUGCCCAACUCUUUGUCUCCCUGGAUACAAUGCCAGCAGCCACUUGGAUCACUCAGACUUACAAACUCCACCUACCAGAAUUUCCUUACACGCUGUAUGGAGUAAAGGCAAGGAGAAUCCCUUAGAACUAGGCUAGGAACUAUUAACAAAAGCAAUACACAGGUGGAUCAUCUAAAAGAAAGCAUCUGAACCAAAACCUACCUCCAAACAUAAGUUAGCUGCUUGCUUUUACGCAUACAUACAGUGCACUGCAGGAAGAAGAAAUGGGAGCAGACAAAUGUGAAUGUUGGGUUUGCAAAGAAGGAGGUUUUGUUGUCAACAAUGCCGAAAGAUAGAAGCACAUCUCACUGAAAUCCUUAGGUUGCACAACAACUCCUUCUAAAGCAAAUGACAAAAAUCUCAGUAACUUCAACUAUAAGUGACAAGCAGUAUGACACUGCUAGACUGUGCAUUAUUGAUUUUAUCACAACUUGUGGAUUGUGAAGUGCCAUCACCUCCUUAGACAAGCAUUGGAAAAGGAGACAUGUUCAGUUAUGUUGCAGGCAGUCUGCAGUGUGCUGAUGGCUGCCUGCUUCUGAGCUCUCCCUCACCAGCUGUGCAGCUGUGUGCCCCAGGAAAGUACUUUGAGAGCAAUCCAUUUUCCAGAAAUCGACUUUUCCAUUCUUCAGAGUUUAUCAUUAUACAUAAUUUUGAGCAGGAGUUCAUUUUGGACUGAGAACUUCCAAGUCACCACUUCAGGUGGCUUGGUUUGGUCUGGAAGAUGUCAGAAGAAUGCUUCCUAAACCAAGUGUCUGUAAUGUGAGGGCAGUUCCAGCUGAAGUAGUGCAGCUCUCACUGUGACAGGUGGGAUUCUUCUACCCAGUACAAACCCAUUCAGGCUCUGUAAAGUCAGUACGUGUAUCAUUCAUACCUACAAUACUCCCAAGAUUGAUGUAAUUUAUAUACAGACCAAUUUUACCUUGCAGCCCCAUUCUAUAAUGCUCUAAUGAUGUGAUGCUGCCCUGGAUGGAUACUUGUAAAUAAUCCUUAAAAAAUGAUAAAGAGUUUAUCAAAGGAUUAAGAGUAGUUUAAUAUUGGGCUUGAAAGUAGCAAGCUGCUGUUGUUUAAAUGUCAGUGAGUCUGUAGAACAGUACCUAUCUUUUUUCUAAUAGGCUUGUGCUAUUUUACAGGUGGAAGCUGGACAGUUUAAACUGAUGCAUAGAAAGAAGUAAAGAUAUUGCUUUGUUUUAAC
rnacentral:lncRNA from 7 species